rnacentral:rRNA from 1 species
GAUGAACGCUAGCGGCAGGCCUAACACAUGCAAGUCGAGGGGCAGCAUAAAAAUUCAGCAAUGAGUUUUGGUGGCGACCGGCGUACGGGUGCGUAACGCGUAUGCACCCUACCUUUAACAGGGGGAUAACGGAGAGAAAUUUCCACUAAUACCCCAGAAUAUCAGAAGAGGCAUAUCUUUCGGUUGAAAUCUCCGGAGGUUAAAGAUGGGCAUGCGUUGUAUUAGGUAGUUGGUGGGGUAAUGGCUCACCAAGCCUACGAUACAUAGGGGGACUGAGAGGUUAGCCCCCCACACUGGUACUGAGACACGGACCAGACUCCUACGGGAGGCAGCAGUGAGGAAUAUUGGUCAAUGGGGGCAACCCUGAACCAGCCAUGCCGCGUGCAGGAAGACGGCUCUAUGAGUUGUAAACUGCUUUUGUACAGGGAUAAAUCGGGGAACGUGUUCCCCGUUGAAGGUACUGUAAGAAUAAGGAUCGGCUAACUCCGUGCCAGCCGCCGCCGUAA